rnacentral:rRNA from 1 species
UCGGGUAAGUUCCGACCUGCACGAAUGGCGUAAUGAUGGCCAGGCUGUCUCCACCCGAGACUCAGUGAAAUUGAACUCGCUGUGAAGAUGCAGUGUACCCGCGGCAAGACGGAAAGACCCCGUGAACCUUUACUAUAGCUUGACACUGAACAUUGAGCCUUGAUGUGUAGGAUAGGUGGGAGGCUUUGAAGUGUGGACGCCAGUCUGCAUGGAGCCGACCUUGAAAUACCACCCUUUAAUGUUUGAUGUUCUAACGUGGACCCGUUACCCGGGUUGCGGACAGUGUCUGGUGGGUAGUUUGACUGGGGCGGUCUCCUCCUAAAGAGUAACGGAGGAGCACGAAGGUUGGCUAAUCCUGGUCGGACAUCAGGAGGUUAGUGCAAUGGCAUAAGCCAGCUUGACUGCGAGCGUGACGGCGCGAGCAGGUGCGAAAGCAGGUCAUAGUGAUCCGGUGGUUCUGAAUGGAAGGGCCAUCGCUCAACGGAUAAAAGGUACUCCGGGGAUAACAGGCUGAUACCGCCCAAGAGUUCAUAUCGACGGCGGUGUUUGGCACCUCGAUGUCGGCUCAUCACAUCCUGGGGCUGAAGUAGGUCCCAAGGGUAUGGCUGUUCGCCAUUUAAAGUGGUACGCGAGCUGGGUUUAGAACGUCGUGAGACAGUUCGGUCCCUAUCUGCCGUGGGCGCUGGAGAACUGAGGGGGGCUGCUCCUAGUACGAGAGGACCGGAGUGGACGCAUCACUGGUGUUCGGGUUGUCAUGCCAAUGGCACUGCCCGGUAGCUAAAUGCGGAAGAGAUAAGUGCUGAAAGCAUCUAAGCACGAAACUUGCCCCGA